GUUACGGGUAUGAUAUCAGAUACACGCCACGGGAGUUCAUACAGCUUUGCAGCUGUCUGUUAGUCAGUCGGCAGCAGAAUACGUCUACAAAUGAAGUCAAUAGGGAAGGACCUUUGCAGGCUUCUGGAUGUGCUGCAGAGAAGUUCUCAUGAUAACCAUAAGAUACCAGCAACGAUAGGUUUUUAUGGUUAGAGCGUAUGCUACACAUAUACCGUACUACAAAUUUCCGCCAUCAAUGGAGAAAACCACUUCAACCAAUACAUAUUUACAUGUACUACCAAAGACUCCAAUUUGUCCAAAAGUAAGAGAAAUAACUGUUACUAGGACUGAGAGGAAGGAAAUGUACCACAAUGACAGAGGUGAAAGCAGUAAACAUAAGGACAGCUCCUACAAGCUUUUUGGAUUCUUUGUCUACCAAUGACAAUGUGAUGGUACUUGCAUGGUCAUAAUAUAAGAAAUUAAUAUGUUUCUGUUCUUUUUCAAGCAUUAUACUGUCUUGUGAAAUUAUGGAAAAAAUUG